rnacentral:rRNA from 1 species
CUCGUAGGCGGUUCCAUAAGACAGAUGUGAAAUCCCCGGGCUCAACCUGGGAACUGCAUUUGUGACUGUGGAGCUAGAGUACGGUAGAGGGGGAUGGAAUUCCGCGUGUAGCAGUGAAAUGCGUAGAUAUGCGGAGGAACACCAAUGGCGAAGGCAAUCCCCUGGACCUGUACUGACGCUCAUGCACGAAAGCGUGGGGGAGCAAACA